rnacentral:SRP_RNA from 1 species
CGGUGGGAUAGGUCGGGAGGUUAGGGGUCUCCUGUAAUCACAAACCCCCUUCACGGUGAGACCGAAAAGCUGGAAGAGGUUCGAGCCAUCUCACCUCGGCUCAGGUGCAAGCGUUGAAGCUUUGCCUUGCUGGAUGGGAGGUUGUGCGAACCGGGCUAGGCCGAAAGGAGCAACCCUAAACACAAAUUGCAGAGAGAAAGCUCUGCGAGUGGAAUUUUCCAUGCUAGCAAGUCACAAAGCCCAGCCCAAACCUGAACAACCGGAUGAGGGGGCUCCUAUCAAUUCCAGUGAAGCCCACCG